rnacentral:rRNA from 1 species
AUUGAACGCUGGCGGCAGGCCUAACACAUGCAAGUCGAACGGUAGCACAGAGAGCUUGCUCUCGGGUGACGAGUGGCGGACGGGUGAGUAAUGUCUGGGAAACUGCCUGAUGGAGGGGGAUAACUACUGGAAACGGUAGCUAAUACCGCAUAACGUCGCAAGACCAAAGAGGGGGACCUUCGGGCCUCUUGCCAUCAGAUGUGCCCAGAUGGGAUUAGCUAGUAGGUGGGGUAACGGCUCACCUAGGCGACGAUCCCUAGCUGGUCUGAGAGGAUGACCAGCCACACUGGAACUGAGACACGGUCCAGACUCCUACGGGAGGCAGCAGUGGGGAAUAUUGCACAAUGGGCGCAAGCCUGAUGCAGCCAUGCCGCGUGUAUGAAGAAGGCCUUCGGGUUGUAAAGUACUUUCAGCGGGGAGGAAGGCGAUAAGGUUAAUAACCUUGUCGAUUGACGUUACCCGCAGAAGAAGCACCGGCUAACUCCGUGCCAGCAGCCGCGGUAAUACGGAGGGUGCAGGCGUUAAUCGGAAUUACUGGGCGUAAAGCGCACGCAGGCGGUCUGUCAAGUCGGAUGUGAAAUCCCCGGGCUCAACCUGGGAACUGCAUUCGAAACUGGCAGGCUGGAGUCUUGUAGAGGGGGGUAGAAUUCCAGGUGUAGCGGUGAAAUGCGUAGAGAUCUGGAGGAAUACCGGUGGCGAAGGCGGCCCCCUGGACAAAGACUGACGCUCAGGUGCGAAAGCGUGGGGAGCAAACAGGAUUAGAUACCCUGGUGGUCCACGCUGUAAACGAUGUCGACUUGGAGGUUGUUCCCUUGAGGAGUGGCUUCCGGAGCUAACGCGUUAAGUCGACCGCCUGGGGAGUACGGCCGCAAGGUUAAAACUCAAAUGAAUUGACGGGGGCCCGCACAAGCGGUGGAGCAUGUGGUUUAAUUCGAUGCAACGCGAAGAACCUUACCUACUCUUGACAUCCAGAGAACUUAGCAGAGAUGCUUUGGUGCCUUCGGGAACUCUGAGACAGGUGCUGCAUGGCUGUCGUCAGCUCGUGUUGUGAAAUGUUGGGUUAAGUCCCGCAACGAGCGCAACCCUUAUCCUUUGUUGCCAGCGGUUCGGCCGGGAACUCAAAGGAGACUGCCAGUGAUAAACUGGAGGAAGGUGGGGAUGACGUCAAGUCAUCAUGGCCCUUACGAGUAGGGCUACACACGUGCUACAAUGGCAUAUACAAAGAGAAGCGACCUCGCGAGAGCAAGCGGACCUCAUAAAGUAUGUCGUAGUCCGGAUUGGAGUCUGCAACUCGACUCCAUGAAGUCGGAAUCGCUAGUAAUCGUGGAUCAGAAUGCCACGGUGAAUACGUUCCCGGGCCUUGUACACACCGCCCGUCACACCAUGGGAGUGGGUUGCAAAAGAAGUAGGUAGCUUAACCUUCGGGAGGGCGCUUACCACUUUGUGAUUCAUGACUGGGGUGA